rnacentral:misc_RNA from 1 species
CAAUGACUUACAAGGCAGCUU